CCCCGUAACUUCGGGAGAAGGGGCGCCCCAGAGAUGGGGCCGCAGUGAACAGGCCCAAGCAACUGUUUAGCAAAAACACAGGCCUAUGCAAAACCGAAAGGUGAGGUAUAUGGGCUGACGCCUGCCCGGUGCUGGAAGGUUAAGAGGAGAUGUUAGCUUCGGCGAAGCAUUGAAUUGAAGCCCCAGUAAACGGCGGCCGUAACAAUAACGGUCCUAAGGUAGCGAAAUUCCUUGUCGGGUAAGUUCCGACCCGCACGAAAGGCGUAAUGAUUUGGAUACUGUCUCAACGAGAGACUCGGUGAAAUUUUAGUACCUGUGAAGAUGCAGGUUACCCGCGACAGGACGGAAAGACCCCAUGGAGCUUUACUGCAGAUUGAUAUUGAGUACCUGUAAGUCAUGUACAGGAUAGGUAGGAGCCGAUGAAGUUGGGACGCCAGUUUCAACAGAGGCGCUGUUGGGAUACUACCCUUGACUUAUGGUUACUCUAACCCGCUCACCUGAUCGGUGUGGGAGACAGUGUCUGUCGGGCAGUUUGACUGGGGCGGUCGCCUCCUAAAGUGUAACGGAGGCGCCCAAAGGUUCCCUCAGAAUGGUUGGAAAUCAUUCGUAGAGUGUAAAGGCACAAGGGAGCUUGACUGCGAGACCUACAAGUCGAGCAGGGACGAAAGUCGGGCUUAGUGAUCCGGUGGUUCCGCAUGGAAGGGCCAUCGCUCAACGGAUAAAAGCUACCCCGGGGAUAACAGGCUUAUCUCCCCCAAGAGUUCACAUCGACGGGGAGGUUUGGCACCUCGAUGUCGGCUCGUCGCAUCCUGGGGCUGUAGUCGGUCCCAAGGGUUGGGCUGUUCGCCCAUUAAAGCGGCACGCGAGCUGGGUUCAGAACGUCGUGAGACAGUUCGGUCCCUAUCCGUCGCGGGCGUAGGAAAUUUGAGAGGAUCUGUCCUUAGUACGAGAGGACCGGGAUGGACCUACCGCUGGUGUACCAGUUGUCUUGCCAAAGGCACGGCUGGAUAGCUAUGUAGGGCAGGGAUAAGCGCUGAAAGCAUCUAAGUGCGAAGCCCCCCUCAAGAUGAGAUUUCCCAUUCUUUAAGAAAUAAGAGCCCUGAGAGAAGAUCAGGUAGAUAGGCUGGAAGUGGAAGUGCUGUGAGGCAUGGAGCGAACCAGUACUAAUGGCUCGAGG
rnacentral:rRNA from 1 species